GGAAAGUUGCAAAGUACUUUGAAGAGAGAGUUCAAGAGGACGUGAAACCGGUAGGAUGGAAGCAGAUGAAGUUGACGAACGUGUGUCGUAUUCAGAAUCGCUGUCAGCGGUUUGUUUUUACGGCCGAUGUGGGCCGGCGGCUUUGGUCAAUGCAACGCGUCUAGCGUCGAUGGAGACCCUGCGGAGGGAUAAUCGGUCGGCGUACGGUGCUUGGUAUGGCUAAGGUUUCGCCGGUCUUAAAGUCAGCGCCUCAUCUGACCCGUCUUGAAACACGGACCAAGGAGUGUAGCGUUUGCGCAAGUCUUAGGGUGUGUCGAAACUUUGAGGCGUAACGAAAGUAAAUGCAGUUUAACCUGCUGACUUGGGAUGCGUUGUCUCCUGUGGACGGCGCUGGACCAUGGUUUUAUCGCGAUCGCUUGCGAUGCGGUGAAAAUAGAGCGUAAACGGUGCGACCCGAAA
rnacentral:rRNA from 1 species